UACGGAGGGUGCAAACGUUGCUCGGAAUCAUUGGGCGUAAAGCGCACGUAGGCGGCUCGUUAAGUCGGAUGUGAAAGCCCUGGGCUCAACCCAGGAAGUGCAUACGAAACUGGCGAGCUUGAGUAUGGAAGAGGGUCGCGGAAUUCCCGGUGUAGAGGUGAAAUUCGUAGAUAUCGGGAGGAACACCAGUGGCGAAGGCGGCGACCUGGGCCAAUACUGACGCUGAGGUGCGAAAGCGUGGGGAGCGAACAGG
rnacentral:rRNA from 1 species